rnacentral:tRNA from 1 species
GCCCCCGUAGCUCAGUCAGGAUAGAGCUCCGGUUUCCUAAACCGGGUGCCCAAGUUCGAGUCUUGGCGGGGGCA